rfam:Saccharomyces kudriavzevii IFO 1802 unplaced genomic scaffold c151, whole genome shotgun sequence.
GCUUCUAUGGCCAAGUUGGUAAGGCGCCACACUAGUAAUGUGGAGAUCGUCGGUUCAAAUCCGACUGGAAGCA